GUCCUGGUUCCGCACGCUCCCUUAUCACUUCUUCCGCCGAGCUCGUGUCUCUGAGUCAGCUGGACGGAGAACUGAUAAGGGCCUGUGCCGAACACCAAUCC
rnacentral:pre_miRNA from 1 species